rnacentral:rRNA from 1 species
UGUAUCAGGGCUGAUUAAAUUAGGAUUAAGGCUUUAUUUAUCUCGAAUUUAAAAGAGCUAUGCAUAAAUAUAUAUUAAUGUAGAAUAAUUACUUAUAAUUUGUGUAUUGUAAUGAAACGUUAUUCGUUUUUAAAUAUAUCUAGUUUUCUAAGAAAUUAAUUAAAUUUAGUAACUGUUUAAUAUUUUUAUUAAUUUUUAUUUUUAUAUUAAUAGUUGGUAAUAUCUAAGGGGAUGAGCUUUUGGAUAGAUAUCUAUAAGAUUUUUCUUGUUUGAUAAGUUGUAGGAUUAGAAUUUUCCAUCUAUAAAAGGAUGUUAUAAUUUAUUAUUGAAUAAUAUGAUUUAUAUUUUCUUUAGGUUUUUUAUUAGAAUAAUAAUAUUAAUUUUUAAUAUUAUGGGAUAAUGAUUAGAUUAGUAUAAUUAGUUGUAAUUUUGAGUUGUUAUGUGAGGUUACUAAAAGGAACUCGGCAAUUUUAAUUUUCACCUGUUUAAUAAAAACAUGGCC